GUGGAUGUAACCAAGCGGUAAAGCAGCGGAUUGUGGUUCUGCCUAUCGCGGGUUCGAUUCCCGUCAUCCACCCCA
rnacentral:tRNA from 1 species